rnacentral:rRNA from 1 species
CUACGGGGUGCUGCGGUAGGGAAUCUUAGACAAUGGGGGAAACCCUGAUCUAGCCAUGCCGCGUGAGUGAUGAAGGCCUUAGGGUUGUAAAGCUCUUUCGCUGGGGAAGAUAAUGACGGUACCCAGUAAAGAAACCCCGGCUAACUCCGUGCCAGCAGCCGCGGUAAUACGGAGGGGGUGAGCGUUGUUCGGAAUUACUGGGCGUAAAGCGCGCGUAGGCGGGCUAUUAAGUCAGGGGUGAAAUCCCGGGGCUCAACCCCGGAACUGCCUUUGAUACUGGUAGUCUUGAGUUCGAGAGAGGUGAGUGGAAUUCCGAGUGUAGAGGUGAUAUUCGUAGAUAUUCGGAGGAACAUCAGUGGCGAAGGCGACUCACUGGCUCGAUACUGACGCUGAGGUGCGAAAGUGUGGGGAGCAAACAGGAUUAGAUACCCGAGUAGUC